rnacentral:rRNA from 1 species
CCUACGGGGGGCAGCAGUGGGGAAUAUUGGGCAAUGGGCGCAAGCCUGACCCAGCGACGCCGCGUGAGGGAUGAAGGCCUUCGGGUUGUAAACCUCUUUCAGUAGGGAAGAAGCGAAAGUGACGGUACCUAAAGAAGAAGCACCGGCUAACUAUGUGCCAGCAGCCGCGGUAAUACAUAGGGUGCAAGCGUUGUCCGGAAUUAUUGGGCGUAAAGAGCUCGUAGGUCGUUUGCCGCGUCGAUUGUGAAAAUCUGAGGCUCAACCUCAGACCUGCAGUCGA